AACGCGAAGAACCUUACCAGGACUUGACAUGAAGUUGCACCAGCGGUAAUGCGCUGUCCCUUCGGGGCGGCUUCACAGGUGCUGCAUGGCUGUCGUCAGCUCGUGUCGUGAGAUGUUGGGUUAAGUCCCGCAACGAGCGCAACCCCCAUGGUCGGUUGGAUUUCUCCGGCCAGACUGCCGUGACUAACGCGGAGGAAGGUGGGGAUGACGUCAAGUCAGCACGGCCCUUACGUUCUGGGCGACACACACGCUACAAUGGUUGAGACAAAGAGUUGCGAACCAGCGAUGGGGAGCCAAUCUCGUCAAACUCAAUCUCAGUUCAGAUUGGAGGCUGCAACCCGCCUCCAUGAAGUUGGAGUUGCUAGUAACCGUAGGUCAGCACACUACGGUGAAUACGUUCCCGGGCCUUGUACACACCG
rnacentral:rRNA from 1 species